rnacentral:rRNA from 1 species
CCACGUCAGGCUAGAUCA